rnacentral:rRNA from 1 species
UACGAAGGGGGCUAGCGUUGCUCGGAAUCACUGGGCGUAAAGGGUGCGUAGGCGGGUCUUUUAAGUCAGGGGUGAAAUCCUGGAGCUCAACUCCAGAACUGCCUUUGAUACUGAAGAUCUUGAGUUCGGGAGAGGUGAGUGGAACUGCGAGUGUAGAGGUGAAAUUCGUAGAUAUUCGCAAGAACACCAGUGGCGAAGGGCGGCUCACUGGCCCGAUACUGACGCUGAGGCACGAAAGCGUGGGGAGCAA